GGUGAGAUGGCCGAGCGGUCUAAGGCGCUACGUUAAGGUCUUCAAAACCUUAAAACUUCUGUUAUCCGUAGUCCGAAAGGGCGUGGGUUCGAAUCCCACUCUCAUCA
rnacentral:tRNA from 1 species